rnacentral:rRNA from 1 species
UUGAACGCUGGCGGCAUGCUUUACACAUGCAAGUCGAACGGCAGCGCGGGCUUCGGCCUGGCGGCGAGUGGCGAACGGGUGAGUAAUACAUCGGAACGUGCCCAGUAGUGGGGGAUAGCUCGGCGAAAGCCGGAUUAAUACCGCAUACGACCUGAGGGUGAAAGCGGGGGAUCUUCGGACCUCGCGCUAUUGGAGCGGCCGAUGGCAGAUUAGCUAGUUGGUGGGGUAAAGGCCUACCAAGGCGACGAUCUGUAGCUGGUCUGAGAGGACGACCAGCCACACUGGGACUGAGACACGGCCCAGACCCCUACGGGAGGCAGCAGUGGGGAAUUUUGGACAAUGGGCGAAAGCCUGAUCCAGCAAUGCCGCGUGUGUGAUGAAGGCCUUCGGGUUGUAAAGCACUUUUGGCGGGAACGAAAAGGACUGUGCCAAUACCACGGUUCGAUGACGGUACCCGCAGAAUAAGCACCGGCUAACUACGUG